AUGAUUUACGUAACUGGGAGGCCGGCGGAUCGACUGCAGAAUGAUGCGAGUGACCUUGAGACUUCUCAGGUGGAUGAGCAUCUUUAACUCGAGUCUAAUGAUAGGGAGCAGCGGAAAAUCGCUGUAAGAAUAACAGAUAUAUCUUCACGAGUACCCGGAUGGACGAAGUUAGGCGCAUCUUCCCACGGGGAACUGAGAGAUAAACGCAAUGAAGGAGAGGAAAACUGAAAGAAGAAAUUGUGACACUACAGAGAAGUAUAUUUAUUUCUUUUAGGAAGACGGUAGACAUUCCCGUGUGGAGGUAAACAAGAGGAUGAAAUCCGUAAAGUCCUGUGAGAAGUGCAGCGUUCCAGUAGGUGCGGUUAUAUACGUGCAGGCGCGUUGAAAUUGAUGAACCCCCGCAGCAAAUGUACACGUGGGGCUCGGAUGAAAGCUGCUGGGAAGAUGUAACGCUGCGUGGGAGGUGAAAAGUGAUAUUUUUCACGAACUAAUGCGGCAUACUAAGGAAAUACGGCGAAUGACAUUAGGAAAAUCGGGAAAAUCUGCCGUUGGAGUAUUUAGCCGCCUCAUUUUGUGGAAAUAAGAGGUGGUUCCCUCUUGAUGAUAAAAGAAGUGAAGCACCAUAAGAACAAAUCCGUGGAAGGUAUCUGUUUGGUGUUGUACUGGAGCAUUUCAGGAUGCGGUGGUUUCCCGCAUGGUGGAUCAGCGUAAAUUAGCCUUCCGAAUCAGCGUUCUGACAGUUGGAAAUGCCUCUGAGGAAGGAAGGAAUUGCUCUUCUUGAAAGAUCAGAGAAAAGCCGCAGUUACUCAACGCGAAAUCUACAGGGAGCACGAGAAAGGGAAAACAUCAAGAAAAUUUAUCAAUAUUGCUUGCAAUCUCUUCCACAAAAGUGUGUCGGUUGGUGUGGAUUUACACGGGCCCAAGUCGCCCAAUGCUAAACGGAAGAAGAAUCACCACCAAAUUCCAAAAAUAGAGAAGUAUAAGUGUGAAUGUUGAGUGAAUGAGGGGCCCCAGUGUGAGUGGUGUGUGAUGAGAGCAGUUGAUGAUCCAGGCACUGCUAAUGAAAUUACGAAAAUUGAUUGCUCUCCGCUUUAGAUGUUUCUUUCUAGGGACCUCUUGAGGCAGCAGUAGGAGACUGUGUCGUCUCAAUAAGAAGCGCACUAAAGAGUCAUCGUAGCUACAGGCAGUUUGUGAUGGAGAGAUAAGCAAAAGGGAAUGUUCGGUGAGUUCGUUCCUUAUUAUUUCUCCGUAAUAAAGUUACGUGCUACAUAAGGUCAUAUUUAAUGCCGGAAAUAAGUUUCUAUUAUUGUAAUAAAUUACUAGUGACCUUAUGGCAAGACUAACAAAUCGAUAAAUGAAAUUUAGAAACUUAAGUACUAAUCAUAGGCAGUGAAUGAGCCGAAUGAGAACGAUUAAAAUAUAGCAGUAAGAAGAUUUGUCGGAUAACAAAUCAGUUUUAGAAUAAUUAACCAUAAGACAAGUAACUGAUUUCGGAUAUCUAGGGGGCUAUCUCAGCUUUCAGUGGGAAGCAAAUCAGAGAAUUCCUUAAAAUUUCGGCUGUUGUUUUGCCUUGUGAGUUUGGAUAUUUUCUCUGAUUUGUCCUCUGGUUGAAUCGUAUGGUGUUCUGCCUAUGUAUGACUACUAACGAUGGGAUUAAAUUUCCGGUGUUCAUCCGGAAUGGAGUGAUUAAUCCUUAUCUCAAGAUAUUCUGGUUCAACAAUUUCCUCCAAUUUCAUCGUACUUGUCUCUCCUGAUAGGAAGUUGUUACAGUCCCGUUACGUUUCGGAAAAUAUCCAAAAUAUGGCGUGUCAGUUGGAGAUAAGGUAAAAUCACGAUGAUGAGCUUCCAAAAGGUUUACGUGGUCACGGAAAUGAACUCAGCGGAGUCUCAGGAAUUGCUGUGGCAUUAGAGAAGAAUUAUUUGCGGAAAGUUGUAGCGUCAAUGGAUUGAUACCAUUAUUUCAAUCUUUACAAAUGGCUCUGCGUAUGUGAUACGCGUGGAUAGUUGAUAGCCAAGAAUAUGUAAUUAUUCUGCGGGAUGCCGGAUGAAUUGUGAUGUAAUUCUGUGAUAUAGAAACUACCACAACACAAUGGCUUUGGUCACGAAGAAAUCAAAUAUCCGGAGAGUAUGAAAGGAGUUCAGUUGACUCAUUCGAGCAUACAGUCAGUUCUAUGAGUAUGUCUUGAAGAUUUGCGAUUGUGAAUUCGCAACUCUUAAGGGGGUUCAGAAUCUAGAAGACUCGUGGCUGUGAAUCCGCAAUUCUUUAGGGGGAUCAGAAUGGAGUACACUAACUAGACAGUUGGUUCUCGACAACUGUGAAUUGGUAUGGCAUGCAUGAGUGAAAGGUUAGCGGUGGGUUAAGAAGUGCUUAAAGAGAUGGCGACGGAAUGCACCAUUAUACAGACAUCAGGAGUAAUAUCAACAACAAACUUGAAACCGCCAAGUGCGUAGUGUGGCGGAAAAUAAGCAUAGCUGAUAUGGAUUGAACAUUGAGAAGAGGGUCAUCUGGAUCAGGUAUCAGCGAUAGGAAGAUCAGCAAAGUCAAUGUCGGGUACAGAUAAGGAAGUUGGAUUGAUACUAGGCUGGGUCUGAUGUUCCAUGUGGCUUCUCUCCAUGUAUCUCAUGCGGACGUCUAGUAAAUCCAAUAGGCUCGUUUGUUCUUGUAGUAUGCUAGAUCCCCAUUCUGGUUGAAUACUUUGAUUGUCAUAAAAAAAUAGAAAUAGAUGAGUCAAUGGUUAGAUGAUGUUGUGAGGGUGUUAGGACUUAUUUAUCUUGCGGUAGAUAUAGUUUCACUGGACAGUCGUCUUAAAGAAAGUGGACUUUCAAGAUAUGUGAUGAGUAGAAGUAUUCUUCCAGGUGUUGGUGUAGGGGUAUAGAAAUUCCGUGGUAGUGUGGUAUGCGAAAAACUUUCUCCUUCCUCUGGACCCUAAAACUGUUGCGUUGACAGGGAUGCCUCUAAAUGGUCAUGGAAUGUUUCUAGGGCGGUACCUGCCUUGGCCGGAUGGGGAGGCAAGAACAAGCACACUACGUGGAUGUAAGGAAAUUAUAAAGGGAAUUUCACAACUAAUUUCAAAGGAAAAAGCUAUUCUGCCAAGGCUUAUAAGUUCUGACCGGAUAUGUUGUGGAAAGUGACUUAGAAACAUCCUCAUUGAUGACAAGGUGUGUAUAAGCCAAAAGUGAAUUAUGGCUUAAGGACAAGAGCAAUAGUAUGAGAAUGUGCUCAUUGUGUGUGCAUGAUGUCAAGUGCAAAAGGAACACACUAACCAAAGCGUAUGCAAUGAACUCUAAGGACAAGUUCACAGUAUGACAUGAGGUAGCAUGUUACGUCCAUAAGGGACUGAGAGUGAAGUUUCCCAAGGCGAUGACAAACGGUAAGGAAUAGUACUGAUUGUGAGUCUAAGUCCCAUCGACUCGGAGGCAAGUUACAUUGGUAACAUCAUGUGGGAGUCAAUUCAAAUAUGGGAAAGACCGUAGGAGUUUUAAAUCCAUAGGAAUAGCCUGAACAUGCACUACAGAACAGGGACAUCAAAAGUGCAUAAACAUCCGAUAUUUUUCAACGCAUAGUAGUUGACUCUUGUAGGUACUGGGCCUCAUGAGUUGAGCUGGUGUGCGUGGAAGAAUAUCACAGGGAUGUUGUGGUGGAAACGAGCCACUGAUGGCAUGGGUGACAUGCCAAGUGAAGCAUCCAAUCCGAAGUGAUCAUUUACACAUAGUGGUUCACCAAUGAAGGUUUUGGGCCUCAUAGGUUAAAGCUGCUGUGUGUAAGGUAUCAUAGGGAUGCGAGGGUAGAACCGAGUCUACCACUGACAGAUGUGUUCUGUCUUUCAGUUCUGGAAGUAGAACUGAGCGCUCAUAAAAUUGCGGAAUUUUAAUGGUAUUCGCGCCUAGUUCUGAUUGAGUUCAACGGACCUUGGGACUCGCGGUGUUAUGGGUUAAAGGAAACGGGCUAGUUGAGCUAAGCUCCUAACUCGGGUUCCUACUAUUCACUGUGAGUUGCCAAGGGACGGCAACAAGAUCAGAAUGGCCGAAUGUAGGAGCGCAUUGACCAAUUCGAGAAGAGAGCCCUCUCGACGGUCAAAUGUAACCCUCUCCUCUCCCUAAAUUCCUCUCUCUCCAAUAACGGUGCUGAGGACUGCAGCUCAACUGAGAAAGAUCAGUUGGGCUGAUGCUGUGAGAGCGAACACACGUCACCGCAGACUGUGUUCCUCCACAGCAUGAAAAAGGGCGACAGUCCCAGCCCGUAAGUGCGCGAUAUUGAAUUAGAACGCCUACA